CAUCAGAAAGACAAGAACAGCAAGAUGGUGUCACAGAUCCAGGUCCUCAUGGCCCUGCUGUUCUGGGUGUCCGGUACCUGUGGGGACAUCAUUAUGACCCAAUCUCCUCGCUCUCUGUCAGUGUCAGCAGGACAGAGGGCCACUAUGAACUGCAAAUCCAGUCAGAGUAUUUCAUCUGGUGCUUCCCACUACUUGGCUUGGUACCAGCAGAAACCAGGACAGGCUCCCAAACUGCUGAUCUACUGGGCAUCCACAUGGGAAUCUGGGGUCCCUGAUCGCUUCGUAGGCAGUGGGUCUGGGACAGAUUUCACUCUGACCAUCAGCAGUGUCCAGCCUGAAGAUCUGGCAGAUUAUUACUGUCAGCAGUAUUAUAGUUCUCCUCCCACAGUGCUUCACACUUGGACAAAAACCCCCACUUAG